UACGUAGGGGGCAAGCGUUGUCCGGAAUUACUGGGCGUAAAGAGCUCGUAGGUGGUUUGUCGCGUUGUUCGUGAAAACUCACAGCUUAACUGUGGGCGUGCGGGCGAUACGGGCAGACUGGAGUACUGCAGGGGAGACUGGAAUUCCUGGUGUAGCGGUGGAAUGCGCAGAUAUCAGGAGGAAUACCGAUGGCGAAGGCAGGUCUCUGGGCCGAUACUGACGCUGAGGAGCGAAAGCGUGGGGGAGCAAACAGG
rnacentral:rRNA from 1 species